rnacentral:lncRNA from 1 species
GGAGACUGCUAGCAAGCCCCUUCCUGACAGGAACCAGAGCAGAGCAGCAGAGCCAUGGAGCCCAGGGACAAGGGAGCUGAUCUCCACCUCCUCAGCAUUCUGAAGGGGUUUUGACCGGAGUCUUUUGGAAGUUAAGACACAGAGAGGGUCUCUUCAGAAGAUCCCUGAAUGAGGUGGCACCAUGAGACAUCUUACUGGGCCAUCUAUGUCGAGUAUGGUGCAGGCAGCAGCCUGUUUGAUGU